AGGAGGCAACGUUGUUGCUGUUUGGUACACUGUUCAUGGGAGUGGCUCACAUCAUUAUUGGGCCGGCGCCAUUUUUGCUGCCAUAUAUAUCCAGUUCUGUGGGCCUGUCGGUGGGUGCUUUUGCCCUCAUGGCAGUCACUUUCUCCUGCUGCGUUAUGGCAGGAAUGCCCUGCCUCUUCAUUGGAGCCAAAGAUCUGGGACUGAAGGACGACCAAGAUACCAACGGCAUGAUCUCCGGCAUCAUUAACGGAGCAUGCGCACUAGG